rnacentral:rRNA from 1 species
UACGGAGGGUGCGAGCGUUGUCCGGAAUCACUGGGCGUAAAGGGCGCGUAGGUGGCGCGAGGAGUCUGUGGUGAAAGCCCGAGGCUCAACUUCGGGUCGGCCGCGGAUACUCUCGUGCUGGAGGGUGGUAGAAGCCAAUGGAAUUCCGGGUGUAGCGGUGGAAUGCGUAGAGAUCCGGAAGAACACCGGUGGCGAAGGCGGUUGGCUGGGCCACACCUGACACUGAGGCGCGACAGCGUGGGGAGCAAACAGG